ensembl:lncRNA
CGGUCUUCUUGUUACUUAAGCAUCAUUCAUCUUCCUUCAAAUCUCUAGCCAGGGCUUCACAGGGCUUGGCAGCUCAAUUUCCUUUCAGCCUACUGGAUGAGACAGAAGGGUCCACCGGUCACUUAUCUAAGCAAAGCACAUUGGGAGCCAUUAGAACUUGCGCCACCCGGCAGACUGUUCUGAACCAGAGAGGAGAAAUCAAGGCUGCCUCACCAUAUGAGACUCAGAAAUAGGUUUAUUACCUGCCACCUGCAAGUGAGUGUGUGAGAUUGGCUUUGUGGCAGCCAGCAACAUUCAGCAAGCACCUUUCCACCUGCCUCCAGGUGGAUUCUUUACCGUCUGAGCCACCAGUACUUCCUAUGUGCACGGUCAGCAGCAGAAUUCCAAUGUAUGCUCAGGUAAGAGACAGCCUUCACUGAUGGGACACCCGCUGGAGACUUUGAUUGGGAAACUAAUGUCAUAAAGACAUGGAACCCAUUCUGCUGAGCAUAGCAGCCAAGUAGCCAGCUAGCUCCCAGUGACCAAGAUUCCAGAUCGCAUCCGAGCCCCACACUCAGUUUCAGAUUCCCAAGCAGAGAAUCUGACUGGCUGAGUGCUGGCAUCAUGCACAUGAUAGGGCUGCCAUGGCUCAUGUUGCCCACAACACACUACCUGAUGACUGCCCCUGACUGAGGAAAAGGGCGCAGAAAGUGAUGGACAAAAAUGGACACAUAUGCACUAUGACUGGAGGCUCUGCAUUCACUUCUGAUGGGUACUAGACCCUGCUGAGCGGGGGUGAGAAGAGAGGAUUCCAAGAAGAGUAACAUAGACCCUGCCCUCAGUGAAGUGGAGCCCUGCUAUUAUAGCACCUACAGCCUAAAAGUAUCUUUCAUCUAAAACUUAAUCACUUAAAAAGCUCUUUCAUGUCUAUUACAUUUGCCCUUGACAACAGCACCGUGUUAAAACUCCCCAGUGUUCGCUGUGGUGGCUGGCAUGUAGUAGGGAUUCGAUAAACAUUUGCUAAAUGGAUGGAUGAGUAAAGGAAUGGAUGGGGAAGGAAGAAUUAAAUCCAAACUGUGGCAAAAGUACAGCCUUUGCGGUCGUCAGUCUGGUUCAGCACUGCCCAGUGGAACUGGUGAUGGCUCUUGAUCUGUGCUGUGCAAUAUGGUAGCUGCAUAUGGCUACUGAGUGCUUGUAAUGUGCUAACGAGACUGAGGAAUUAAACUUUAAUUUAACUUUAAUUCACUUAAAUCUAAAGAGCCACCCACAGUGAAUGGCUACUGCACUGGACAGUACAGAGUUCAAAUUCCAGCUCUGUUUUUCCAGCUUAUAAACUGAGUACAUGGAAGUUACCACUUGGAUGACUGACUCUCACCACCACUGUUUUUACUGCCACUAUUAAGAGGAUGCCAGGACUCAGAGAGGUUGAAAGGUCUGUCCAGGUUGCCGCACUGGUGAACCACAGAGUGGGAUUUGCGUCUCCUAUUUUCAUUCCCGCAGGGCCUUUCUUAUUACCAAGGUAAACAAGGGCCUGAAUAACCCAGAAGGGCAGGAAGAAUCAUCUGUCCACUGAAAAAUGAGUCCUCUGCAUAGGUUUGUAAUUAGUAUUCACAUUCACAUAGCUUCCACAGUGGUUAAUGAAACAUAAAUUUGUUUAAAACCAUUACUGAUAUUAUAUAGCUUUUUAUUAUUAUGUAGAUUCUUAAUCAACAGAUACUAAAAGUACAGUUACUCUCAUGUGAGGUAUCUUAGAAUUCUUUGACACUGAAAAGCCAUCCUCAUCCUCUUUGUUGAAAAUGUCAUUAGCACCUGCUUCUUAAAACAUAAAGAAAAGAAAGACACGGGAUACAUACACACAAAAGAAUCUAGUGUCUAGAGAAAACAGUGAUGCAAGAGACCUCAUAAAUCAGUAUAUAUUCCAGGUACAUUUGCUAGGAAAAAACCACAUGAAUGGUGGUUUUGACCAAAAGGGGUUUAUUUAAACUCAGUUAAUAGAAAAGAUCAAUGUCUAAUUCCGGAAAGGAUUCUGUAACAAUCCGCAACUAUGAGUAAUACAGCUGAGUUUAGUUUUAAAAAACAAAUCACACACAUUCAGAAUAGGUAAAGCAAAGCUUUAAGGCAGAUUCUGUGAAAGAUUUCAGAGUUUUAGAAGAGCGGCCCUCAACUGUGUGAAUAUAACCCAAAUGGUGCCUGUGAGGAUCUACUGGGAUGAGGAAAUAAAAUCACUGCAUUGCCUGCAUAUACUAUAUUGACUUUUUAUCCUAAAAAAGAAACCAAGCUUCAUUGAUAUUUAAUAUAUGUAUGGACAGCAGUACAUUAUAUAAUUUAAAUAAAUAGACAUCUAGAAAGCUUAUGCCCCCAAAUUAUUUCCCUAAUCAGAUGGCAUAAUUUAAAAUACUUAGACAUUUUUAUUUUAGAAGACAAGCUCAGGCUAACCUGCAGUAUGAUGUGAUUAUUAAAAAUAAGACAAAUAUGGAAUCAUCUUAGCUAUAUUAGUUAGCUUUUCUCCUUAACAAACUACCCCCAAAUGAGUUGGUUUACAACAACCAUUUUUAAAAAAUUUUAGAACCUGCACAACGUUCCUCAUUCUGAUGUAAGAAUAUGGGUUCUGAAAACUAAGUCGUAUGAGCAAAGGUUGAAAGAAUCGGGAUCGUGAUGCUACGCAAAGAGAGCUUUCACAGGAAAGAGGAAUAUAUGUGUGAGACACUUACAAUCUUGAUUUCUUAUAGCUUAGAUUCUAAUACAGUUUAUAGUGGAAGGAAAAAUAUUUUGAAUGGAUGAUCCCUUGAAGCAACAGAAUUUAAAGCAUGUUUUUCUUUCUCUAAUUGAUUUUACAAAUACAGAACUCUAUGAUUUCAGAGUGGUCCAUUUGUGUGGAAUGACACAGUCGGCUAAUAGAAAAAUUACUGGAAAAUCCCAGAGGAGAUGGAUUUCUUUCAUACUUAUCAACUUUUCUCAUUUUUAUGAGAAUUGGCUAUUUCUUUCUCCUCUUUUUAAGAGAGAAACAAUACAGUCUUUGUUUCUAUUUCUCCCUCCCCCAUUCAAAUUCUAUAAAUGUAAAUUUAAAAUAUGGGCAGAUUUGAAAAUGGAUUAUGAAGAAAAUGCUUUAGCAUAAACAAAAGGAAGAUGGAGUAAAACGCAUGUCCGUCACUGCAUGGGAAAUGGUGUGACAAAUACCCAGUACUUUUGUCUAGAGAAUGGUGGUGACUCAGAGUAUCGUGGUCCACCUGAAAGAAUGUGAAAAGUGAAAUAUAUUUAAACAAAAACCCAUGCAAGUGCUGUGUCCCUUCUGGAUAUACCUGGAACCAUGUUCUGUUUCAAUAAUUUUAUAUCCUCUCCUAGAAAUAAAAUUUCUGCAAAGCUAAAUCAAAAUGCUAUUUAAAAGAUCUAUGCCUUGUUUAAGAAGCUACUUUAUUGUAAGAUUUAGAAUUAAAAUUUAAGAUCAUCCAAUAAAAUAAAUUUGAAUAACCAACAACCUUGAAAAUUUAUAUCAGUGAUAACAUUUAUAUAUAUAUAUAUAUUUUUUUUGGCUUUUAAACAAACAACAAACUAAGCCUGCAAUGAAAACAGAAAUGUCAUUUCUUUCGGUAGCAUUAUUGGGAGAAAACUCAGAAAUGACUGUAUCCUUACUCAAAGAGAAUUUUUUUUUUUUUUUUGGUCAAGUGGUUAAAAAAAUCAAUCUAUAUGUUCUCCCACUUUUCUAGGCUUAAAGUUAUUUUUUGCUGAAUGGUGCAAAAGGGAAAAUGGACAUUUGCUUCUGGCACUGUGACCUUCUCCAGGCCCUGUCCACACUGCCCUCUCUGAUUCAGUGUAUUUCUGGAACACACUUCUGAUAUAACCAGCAACCGUUCUCCACAAACACUCAACUUGACAGCAAAUGAGAGUUAAAAAAAAAACAACAGUCUCUCUUUCUCAUCAAUGAAGAGUGCCACACUACAAACACAUUUCCUUUUUUUUUUUUUGGAAGAUGAUUUUUAAAAAAGAGAUUAAUUAUCUUUAAAAGAUGGGGUACAGCUCAACCCUGUUAUUUUCCUUCUGGCUAUACACAUGAAUACACUAAUUUUUGUUUUGAAACCAAUAGAGUUCUUAACUAUUAUGAACUAUUGCUGAUUUUUAAAAAGAAAUCCAUAGCUGGUCCAUACAUUUUCCAACUAAGACAUAGCAUCAAACCUCCAUAAGUUUAAGAAAGCUAUAUAUACCUGUAUACAUACACACUUAUAAACAUACACACUGAUCCAACUGCACCCUUACCCACAGAUAACUAAACCAUUUGAGAUUUGUUGGUAGGGGAUGGGGAAAAGGGGCUGGGGAGCAUUUUUUUUUCCACAAUAGGCACGCAUAAUAUUUACCGAAUAAGACAUUUUGCUCUGUAUUUUUUUUAAUCGGGGGGGGGGAAUCAUUUUAUUUAGACUUUCUAUGGCAUGGGUUACUCAGUUCACAGCAGAGGCACCUGCAGCAAAUUAAUUUCUUGUAGCACAUUAAUUAUCUCAUAGCUUCUAUUUAGGCUGCAGCUGUUGCUAUUAUGUUCAUAAUAUUUUUUAUCACCACUGUAUACAACAGGUUAUGGCAAUAAUAGAAAUCUUUAAAUUUUUUUUUGCCACUCCCCCCCCCCCACCCCUGUUGUUUCCCUGUUUCUGUGUCAGAAGGGAAGGCUGGAAGAAAUUUAGGCAAAUUAAGCCCCACAGCACACUAUAAUUUUCUAUUUCUGAACUGAUUUGUGAGAGAAUGGGUAACUGAAAUUAGCAAAGGAUCACCCCACACAAAGAUGGCGCGUGCAGAAUUUGUGAAAGCGAAAAAGAAGACGAAGGAGAAGCAACAGAGGGGCGGAAUACCGCAGUGCUGGGGUGGUGAGUGUUUGGAUGGGGGCGGGGAAAAUGCUGCAGUUUUCAUGAAAUAAUAAGGUGGGGGAAAAAAAGGCAUACAAAGAGUAGGUUUUUCAUUGUUUGUAAAAUAUAAACACAGAUGAAUUCUGUCUUUGGUUUGUUCAUGCUUUUCACUCUGCACAGCAGGGAUGUUCUUAAGAAGUUGCCCUCUGCGAAAUUUCACUAAAUGGGAACCGUGGACCCUGCAUGAUGGGAUUAUAAUCACACCAGCCACUCCUUUUACAUAAUUUUUUGUUUAAGAUCCAGUAAGACUCCCUGUUUUUAAUAUAUAUAAAGCGAUAGACCUGGAUAUGUCGAUAAACUGAGGGUUUGCGUCCCUGUAGCCUAAGUGCAAGCUAAAACAAAAAACCCGGUGGUAUCACAUCUACAAAUCUCAAUGGAUUCAAAAACAAUAUGAAAAUUUUUUUAGCUGACAAGAACAUGUCUGCUGCCUGCAGUCCCUGCAAUAGCUCACCAUGUUGCCUACUAACCGAAAGAUCAAAAAUUAUCGAUUUCAUGGCGCUGCGUGCUCUGGAAAGGAAAAGCUACUUUAAAAUUUGCAUUGUUUAAGAAAUGAGUUAAAAGAAAAGAAUUAUUUUCUUUUUCCUGAACAGUUUGGAAUGUGAAAAUGGCAUGUUAUAAUCUUAUCCAUGAUUUACUAUAAUUCCAUUAUUUUUAGCAGCUGGAGUCCAGAAAUGAUUUUUUUCGAUGAAUUUAGGAUUUUGCCGCAGUAUACAUCUGCAGUCCCAGAAUCCUCCGGUAAGUUAAUCCUUCUUUCGAUGGGAAACGCCUUUAACCUUCUCGUGAAUGAAAUAUCUGCAACCAUUUUGAAAUUUUUAAUAGAGGAGGGUGUGUGUAUAUGUGUGUGUUUGGGGGGGGGGCAGUUUAUGUCUCCAAAGCAUGAUUUUAUAGCAAUGCAGCGGUAUUUGUCUUAGUUCUUAGAAACACUAAGAAACAUACCUUUGUGCUCUUUGAAUAUCAUGGAUGAUGUCUCCAUUACUUCUCCUUACACUUUCUAUCUAUGGUAGCAUUAGAAAGUACUUCCUUAGUAUGGUAAAGACUGUUGUGUCAAACUAGUGAAGGCCUGCAGAACACAUAACUCCAAGCACGAAAAGUGUGCCUGGCACAUCUGAAGCGGCCAUGAACAUAACCACCACGGCCGCUGCCACGCCACCACCAUGACCAUCGCCUCCCACCACCUUCACUGCCCCUCCCUCAUUCCGCAGUGCACACCAGGCACAAGCUUUCCACAGUGACUUUCUGCCGAAUUUGCCCAGUGGGUUCCUAGAUGACUUCUGUGUGCGAGAAUAGCCAACCAUAUAGUCUGACAUGAGGUAUUUACAACUACUUAGCCUGUUCAGCUGGAAAGAAAUCAAAAGAUAACACUGAACCUUGAGAUGAUGGAUUGCAAAUCAAAAGCCCCCAUCCAUAAAGAGCCCACUUGAUGAACUGCUAAAUGAAAAGGCUGAUUCUAAUUUUUGUCCAGUCUUUGCAGGCUGUCUGAAAAGAAAAAUUUUUGAGCCAGCCUUCUUAGAGAGUUGGCAUUCAUUGUUUAUAAACGUAUGGAGUAUUAUUUCGUCUUACCUUUCUGCGGGGAGGAUUCUUCCCAAGGAGAUUCAGAUUGUCCAGAAGAGACCACACCCUCGUUUCACUGUUUUCUACUGUUUCUCUUUCUUUUCAAGGAGGGCUUAUUAACAAUCACAAUUAUACAUUCAUUUAGGGGUCCUCAUCAAAAGGAGCCAAGCAUCCAUUUCUUUCUGUCUAAAGGAAGCUCAUUGUUUUAGCGUUCAAUAAAUGUUUAAUUAGUGGAUCUGAUAGAUUUAACCAUCUUGAAAAGUAAACGGGCCUUCUUGACAAUGUUGCCUUGAUCAUCGUUUCCGUCCGAAGUGCAAAAACAAUCUGGGCUUUUAUUUCUUCGCCUAAAAGGUGAUUCAAAGGCAUAUAUUUUAGUGAAGGGACGCUGUACCUUCCUUCAGCUUCCAUGGAGCCACUGCUGGGUGUGCCAACGGUCUGAUAUCAUGACAAGCAAUAUUUUCUCUGCUAAACCAGCUGGAGACCCUUUUGGUUUCUAGGAACACAGCCUGAAAUUUAGGACCAUUUGUCCUCUGCAGUUUCACAAAAUGGAUUAAUUUACGUCAAACUCAAGUGGCUGGCUUUGGAAGGAAAAUGUGUAAGAAGAUAACCAAGUAUUUUUAAUGAAUGUAUGACCCAAGUUCAGUUGUUAAACAUCAUUUUUACAAAAUCAUUUCACCAACUCCUCAGGUAUUUUGAUGCUUGUAUUUCUUGUUGGUUUAAUGAUAAUAUUUGUCUUCACUUCAGAGAAGCUAUUCAUCUCAUAUUUUUGGUGAGACAAUUGGAACAAUUUUUAUUGGGGGGGAAUAAGCAAAUAAAAAUUCAGAGCAAUUUGUUAAAUUCAACUAAUUUGUCUGAGUGCUAGUUACCCAGUAGUUCUUCAGUACACUUAAAUGUGAUGUGAAAAUAGCUUGCUGCAUUGUUGCAAAAUUUUACAUUUCCUUUACUAACAUGUGUUUGCUUAAAGUAUUACUAGGGAUUUUAAAUAUUAAUUAUAAAUUUAGAUUAAGACAUCUAAAUUAUAGAGAAAUGCUUCAAUUAUUUUGUCAUCUAAAAAGAGAAAUACGAAUAUAGGAGAGUUUUUAUCUUUUAGAUGUCCUAAUGGUGUAAAUAUUUCUUAAUCAGUUUUAAUGGUGUGCCUUGUUCAGCAAAACAAAAAGCAAAAACUGAACACAGAAAAAGGAAACCUCUGUUAAAAAAUUAAUAUUUAUUAGUCAUCUGAUUUUACAUAUAUGACUUUAAUCAACUGCAUAUAUGAAGAUUAAAAUUGGGGAUCAGUACCUGAAAAAUGCCAUUGAUACUUUUAAGUUUAUAUUAGAAACACUGCUUUGAUAAAGUAUCUUUUUCUGCUCAAUCAGUUCAAAUUAUGACCAGAUGAUUAAUCACAACCAUCCUCUACUCUUAAUUCUACAGAACUACUGGCAAAGACACAAAUGAGAAAGUCAUUGUAGACAAUGGGUCUCACUGAACAUCAUUUGAGUCUGUGGACUUUUUCCACUGCAGGGGCCCACUACAGCUAUGGUGCUAGCCAGCAGUUAACAUUAUCACUGGUAUAUAAUAAAAUAUAAUUAAGAUAGGGGGAAAAUUGAAUUUUUAAAGAACAUGUUGGCCCUGAAGCAUUAGCUAUACCUAAAACUGCACAAGCUACUCCACAAUUGAAUGAGAGGGUUUCCUGCCGUACCUAUGUAUAAAGACCUAUUGUUUGCAUGCAUUAAUUACAAAGAUAAAAGCCUCAAGAUAACUUUCACUGUUGCUUUUUGUACUCUCUCCAUUGUUUUGGAGGAAAAAUAAGCAUCCAACAAUAGACUAGAGAAAGUGAAUCGAUCAUAAUUGUUUCAGCUUUGACAAACACCAAACCUGCUGAUUACAAUGGAGACAUUUCCAAGGGAAAACAAGACCCAACUUCAGCCUAUUCAAACGAAUUAAAAAAUUUUUUUGAAGAAUAGAAAAUGAGUUUUAAAAAAUUAGAAGCUGCUUAAUGGAUAGCUCUUUCCAUGAACAACGAACUUGGAUUUCUCAAAGAAGUAAUACCCUAGAAAUAAACUUAGAAUGAAAGAAAAAUCCACCACCACCCCCAAUAUACUGAUACUUAGUAGCAAAGUGGAACCAGUUAAAAAUGGAAACUGUAAGAAUUAACCUAAUUGGCAGGGCUGUGGAGCUAGUCCAUGUCUAUCAGUCAUUUGUUCAGUUAGGGACUCCUAAGGACUUGUUGAAUUGCGGGCUAGGCGCCUAUCCUAACGAGAGUUCGCAGCCUUCACGAGCGGGGAAAGCCGGCGGCUCGGCCGGGUGCUUCAUUCCCAGAUUCAAGAUGAACAGCCGGUAGGGAUGCGAGAUCCACGACCUGGACCGUGGGGGGCUCUGAGGUGAUGUGCGGCUUGGCUGCGAGCCAAGUCCUGCAGAGAGCUUGGGGCCCAGACUGCAACGGCAGCGGAAGCACGAACGCGCCGGGGUCCCCUGACCGGGAGCAGGGCGGCGGCGGCGUCCGGCAGAGUCCAGAGCGGGUGGGCCCAGACCUCAGCUCCGGCAUUGCCGCCGCCACCUCGGCCCUGAACUUUCACCCCCCAGGGACGUGUGCCGCCUGCCCCGCAGGGCCGGGGUCCCGAUGCCGCCUCCCGCCGGUAGCCGGCAGCGCGCAGCCAGCCUCGCAUCUGUUCUCAUGGCCCGGGGCAUGCGCGAGGCCGGGGCGUCGGGCUCGGGACAGUGGAGAAUACCGGUGUCGCCCUCCCUCCAGCCCACCCC